CUAAAUUCUAUACCAAAUCCUAAAUCCUAAAUUCUAUACCAAAUCCUAAAUACUAAAUUCUAUAUCAAAUCCUAAAUCUUAAAUUCUAUACCAAAUCCUAAAUCCUAGUUCAACCUUAAAUCUUAAAUCGAAUCUUAAACCCUUAUCCAACCCUAAAUCCUAAAAAAAUCCUAAAUCCUAAAUCCUAAAUCAAAUCCUAAAUUCUAGUUCAAUCCUAAAUCUUAAC
rnacentral:lncRNA from 1 species